AUCUGGCAGGAGUGAUGAAUCAAUUAGAUGUGUGAAGUGAUCUUAUGAGCUGAACUUUUGAGGCUUAUUGAUAUUCUGACCUGCCAAUU